UUAUUCAUCAUAGAAAUGGGUUCUGCUUAACCGCAGAUUAAAAGGGAACUGUGUGAAAAUCACGGACUGUCGCGCAACUGUAAGUAACUAAAGUCUUGAUCAAAAAAUCCACUGUGCACGCCAUGGGAAGGAGAUCAGGAUGUUACAAGUCAGGAGACCUGCCUCUUUCGUUAUACAAGA
rnacentral:ncRNA from 1 species